CCUACGGGUGGCAGCAGUGAGGAAUAUUGGUCAAUGGGCGGAAGCCUGAACCAGCCAAGUAGCGUGAAGGAUGACUGCCCUACGGGUUGUAAACUUCUUUUAUAAAGGAAUAAAGUGAGGCACGUGUGCCUUUUUGUAUGUACUUUAUGAAUAAGAAUCGGCUAACUCCGUUCCAGCAGCCGCGGUAAUACGGAGGAUCCGAGCGUUAUCCGGAUUUAUUGGGUUUAAAGGGAGCGUAGAUGGGUUGUUAAGUCAGUUGUGAAAGUUUGCGGCUCAACCGUAAAAUUGCAAUUGAUACUGGCAGCCUUGAGUACAGUUGAGGUAGGAGGAAUUCGUGGUGUAGCGGUGAAACGCUUAGAUAUCACGAAGAACUCCGAUUGCGAAGGCAGCUUACUAAACUGCCACUGACAUUGAUGCUCGAAAGUGUGGGUAUCAAACAGGAUUAGAUACCCUAGUAGUC
rnacentral:rRNA from 1 species